rnacentral:rRNA from 1 species
GACGUAGGGUGCAAGCGUUGUCCGGAUUUAUUGGGCGUAAAGAGCUCGUAGGCGGCUUGUUGCGUCGACUGUGAAAACCCGCGGCUUAACCGCGGGCUUGCAGUUGAUACGGGCAGGCUAGAGUUCGGUAGGGGAGACUGGAAUUCCUGGUGUAGCGGUGAAAUGCGCAGAUAUCAGGAGGAACACCAGUGGCGAAGGCGGUGCUCUGGGCCGGAACUGACGCUGAGGAGCGAAAGCGUGGGGAGCAAACAGG